GAGUGGACUUGGAGCGGCUCAGCAGCAGCACCACGUGCUUGAGGAGAAUGACCGAGUCAUAGAGUGCCAGGAAGAGGCAGUUGGAGAAAAAAACUGGCAGAAUUUGCAGUGUGAUCAGCAAGUCUACGCUGAGGAUGCCCAUCUUCUCUGCCUCCCAUAAGAGAGCAUCAUGUCCACCAUUGCAUCCCUCUGGUUGGAAAAAUAAGAAUAUGAGUGAUAAGUCUUCCCUUAAUUUGCUCUUUGACUCAAAUUGAGACUGAGAACAUGAAGCUGGAUAACCUGAGAGCAGAUUUGGAAAUUCCAAGGAUAGAAGCUAUCGCUGUUAUCUCGUUAUUGUUCUAUGAAGGAGCCAAAGAGCAUCCAAAGAAUUCUGUGGAUUUUUAAGAAGUCUUAUUUCACAUAAUUUUAUUCCUUGUAAUUCAAGCAAUUUGUUAAAUAUAGUUUAAAAUGGAGAUUAAUUCUUCCUUUAUUAAAAACUUGUCAAGUAAAUAGAU